UUGAAGAGACUGUUUUGGCACAAGUUCAUGUGCCCGAUGCACAGUGAAGCCAAACAAACUGAAACAUCGGAGUUUGGAGCAGAGAAAGGUUCAUUGCAGGGCCAUGCAAGGAGAUAGGUGUCU